rnacentral:rRNA from 1 species
AUUGAACGCUGGCGGCAGGCCUAACACAUGCAAGUCGAACGGUAACAGGAAGCAGCUUGCUGCUUCGCUGACGAGUGGCGGACGGGUGGGUAAUGUCUGGGAAGCUGCCUGAUGGAGGGGGAUAACUACUGGAAACGGUAGCUAAUACCGCAUAAUGUCGCAAGACCAAAGAGGGGGACCUUCGGGCCUCUUGCCAUCGGAUGUGCCCAGAUGGGAUUAGCUUGUUGGUGGGGUAACGGCUCACCAAGGCGACGAUCCCUAGCUGGUCUGAGAGGAUGACCAGCCACACUGGAACUGAGACACGGUCCAGACUCCUACGGGAGGCAGCAGUGGGGAAUAUUGCACAAUGGGCGCAAGCCUGAUGCAGCCAUGCCGCGUGUAUGAAGAAGGCCUUCGGGUUGUAAAGUACUUUCAGCGGGGAGGAAGGGAGUAAAGUUAAUACCUUUGCUCAUUGACGUUACCCGCAGAAGAAGCACCGGCUAACUCCGUG